ACAUGCGACACUGAACUGCCAUAUCAAAAGAAGAGGGAUCCUUGUGCUUGCUCCACGUGUCCAAACCGCUCCACGCGUCUCUCACCUUGAGCUGCAACUGCAAACCUUCGCAUAUCAUCAAUUUUGACACUGAAUCGAGCGCUACCACAGUUGAUGAGGAAGAAUAAUAUAUAAAAGCGGGUAAGAAAACAAAGCCACCAAAACAUGGCAAAGCCAGCAACAAUGUUGAUCAUAGCAAGAAGGGCUAUUGCCUCUAAAGCUUUGCAAUUGACUCAACCCUCCGGCAGAUUCUCCAAGAUUUGCUUCUCCACUGCCUUUCAAGGGUGCCAAUGCAGUGGCAGAUGCAAGAGAAAGUGGGGGUGAAGUUAGCGGGACAUCAAGAUUGCCGACAAAGGAGACGUUGAAGGAAGGGUUAUACGAAGCCAGACAUCAAGAUCUAGCUGGUACGAGUGACCAUGCAGAAGAUGGACCUAUGAAAGCCACUGAGAUGGCGGAGGAGUCUGGGAGAGACAAGCCAAGCCCACCAUGGAUGGUGCGUGGAAGGCAAGCAUAACAGAUCAAAGGCCCAGCGGGGCCGGGCAAAGAUCGUCAUCAUGAUCAUGAAUACGAUCCGGUCCAAGGGCCUAUUGAUGAUCUGAGAAACCGUGCAGGAGGAUAUGAUCUCAGUGAAAAAUUGAAGGGGGUAUUGUAUGGGGUUUUUAUGCAUGUUUGUGCUUGUAGGAGGAAGUGAGGUCGUGUAAGGAUGUGAUUCCUAUUUCAAAUUAAAAAAAA